UUCACCAUAUUGGUCAGGCUGGUCUCGAACUCCUGACCUCAGGUGAUCUGCCCAUCUCGGCCUCCCAAAGUGCUGGGAUUACAGGUGUGAGCAACUGCGCCCAGCCACUAAAUCUCUUCUAAAUCCAAAAUUCUAAUAAGACCUUCAAAGCUCUGUGUGAUCUGGUGAACUUCUGAUGUGAUAGUGAAGUUCCCACUUAAAGUUUAAAAAGCGCUUCAGUCUGUCCCCACCUACCUCUCCAGCUUCAUUUCAACCUAUUCUCCCUCUUAUUCACUGUACUCUAAUUUUCUUUUAGUUUCUAGAAAAUUCAAGACACUUCAAGGUCUUCCCAGAUGUCCUCUUUGACCUAAUGUUCCAUUACAGGUUCUUAUUACGUGUUAUGUAAACUCCCUCUCCUUGUCAUACCUCAGCCAACAUCAUUAUAUUGUGCAGUCACUCAGACUGAGAACAACAUAGCACUUCUUCAAAACUAUAAUUACUUGUUUGAAAUUAUUUAAUUCCAGGAACCUUAUCAAUCAUCAUCAUCAUGCCAGCGUCUGGCACACUGUAUUCAAUGUAUAUUUGUUGAGUAGACAUGAUGCAUGGGAUCGCCUGCACAUGAAACAGCAGGAACCAUUUGGGAAAACCUGAAAUUUAAACUGCUUUAGUCAACUUUGUCUGUUGUGAUCAUUUUCUUUUCUUAGCUCAGUGAGCUUUCUGUUAGUGUGCCAAGCUGCCAUCCAACUUUCUUGAGCAUUUUUUCUCGUGGGAAAUGAUCAAGUUUUGAUAGUAGAAAGUGCUUCUUUCCAAGACUUUCUCGAGGCCAUCUUCCUGUGGGCAUCAUGCUUCUGAUGUUACACAGCUGAUAUUUUCAUAUGAGCUACAUUUUUAGACUACAAAGAUGCUUAUUCGGGUGAGAGACCAUUUCUUUGAACUGUAAGUGAUUCAUUUGAUUUUCUUUUUAAUAGUCCUUGUUUUUCUUCUUCUAGCCUUUUUAAGGCAACAUUUAACAGCAUCAGUGUAUUUCUUCAAAUUGUUUUUUGAUUUACAGCCUAGAAGUUCUCAAUUUUCUGAUUUGUCUUUGUCUGAUUUCAAGUUGCCGUCACCCAUGUAAUUUUUGCUAAAGAAGACAGGCAAGUAUAUCACCUUCAAUUUUAAAGGGCUCUCUUUAUCAUUUACAACCUCUUUAUGUUUUCAAGUUGUCAAGCAUUUUUUUUCCUUCGUUUCUCACACUUUGUAUUCCAUUUCACAGCUUCUUGGGAUAGCGCUUUUAGAUUUUCCUAAAAAUGAGUGUUUUCAUCCAAACGAUCCAUUAUUUCCUUCUGAAAGUUCUUCUGAGACACUUUGAAGACGUUUUUGGUACCAGUUACUUGAGAUUGAGGGAUUUCGAUGCAUCGUCAAGUAACUGUUGAACCAUGAAAUGAAAGUUUAGAGACUCCCUUCUGUUCUUUUUUUGAGAAGGCCUACAAUAUUCUCAAGUGACAAGUAAACCUGUCCAGAUAUUUACUAAAUGCUAAACUUAACAUUUGUAACUUCAGACCAGAGAUAACUUGAAGGCUUCAUUGAUUUGUAUAAUCAGUCUAAAUUUUCACUGACUUUAACCUGGGCAGAAAAUCUUUUGACUAGCUCUUUUUCCCUCCUUAAAGUAUGCCUGCUCUUUACUAUAAAAACAAUCAGAGAGACCAUAUCAGAACCUCACAGGGAAAUGCAUGGAGACUUAAGCCUUGUCUUAAGCAUCAGUCACCACCACUGAGGGCUGGACAGGAAGGGGAACCCCAGGUUCUAUAAAACAGUGCUCUCUAACUUUGCUCACCAUGCAAAUAAAGUACUAUUAUUUGUACAAUGAA